GACGGGGGAUGCAAGCGUUAUCCGGAAUCACUGGGCGUAAAGCGUCUGCAGGUGGUUUCCUAAGUCCACUGUUAAACCUUGAGGCUCAACCUCAAAUCUGCAUUGGAAACUAGGAGACUUGAGUAUAGUAGGGGUAGAGGGAAUUUCCAGUGGAGCGGUGAAAUGCGUAGACAUUGGAAAGAACACCGAUGGCGAAGGCACUCUACUGGGCUAUUACUGACACUCAGAGACGAAAGCUAGGGGAGCAAAUGGG
rnacentral:rRNA from 1 species